CGACUUAGCUCAACCUGGUAGAGCAACUGAAUCGUAAUCAGAAGGUUGUAGGUUCAAUUCCUAUAGUCGGC
rnacentral:tRNA from 1 species